AAGAGAACAACAAGAACAACAUCACUAGAGAAUCAAAGGUCCCACUCGGCUUCUCUAGGUUUUCAAGGCAACAACGACAAUAUUCAACAAGAUGGAUAAAUAACACAAGAUUGCAAUAACUAUAGUGAAUCGAAAGAGCCCCACACGGCUUCACUAUAGCAAGAUACAAACAACAAGAUUACAAAAUAAUGGAUAGUAACUUGAUACAAAAUAUCCUAGAAUCUAAGAACCCUAACAUGAAGAUUAGGACCCUAAGACUAAAAGAUAUUUACACCAAAUUCUUACUUGAAUCAAGAGGAACUCAUGAACCUCAAGACCCCCAAGUUUCUAGCCAAAGAACAACAAAAGUGUUACUACACUUUGUUG
rnacentral:lncRNA from 1 species